rfam:Methyloceanibacter methanicus strain R-67174 contig_6, whole genome shotgun sequence.
CCUGGUGAUUUUGGCGGAGCGUCUACACCCGAUCCCAUCCCGAACUCGUCCGUGAAAAGCUCCAGCGCCGAUGGUACUAAGUCUCAAGACUUGGGAGAGUAGGUCGUCGCCAGGC